rnacentral:rRNA from 1 species
AACGAACGCUGGCGGCAGGCUUAACACAUGCAAGUCGAACGCCCCGCAAGGGGAGUGGCAGACGGGUGAGUAACGCGUGGGAAUCUACCCAGUUCUACGGAACAACUGAGGGAAACUUCAGCUAAUACCGUAUACGCCCUAAGGGGGAAAGAUUUAUCGGAAUUGGAUGAGCCCGCGUAAGAUUAGCUAGUUGGUGAGGUAAUGGCUCACCAAGGCGACGAUCUUUAGCUGGUCUGAGAGGAUGAUCAGCCACACUGGGACUGAGACACGGCCCAGACUCCUACGGGAGGCAGCAGUGGGGAAUAUUGGACAAUGGGCGCAAGCCUGAUCCAGCCAUGCCGCGUGAGUGAUGAAGGCCUUAGGGUUGUAAAGCUCUUUCGUCAGGGAAGAUAAUGACGGUACCUGAAGAAGAAGCCCCGGCUAACUUCGUGCCAGCAGCCGCCGUAAAAC